CAGUGUCGAGUCCCGCCCACCUCUGUCAGGCGCGCCAAUCAGCGCGCAGGGAGCGUCAUUAAAGGUCUGCGAGAGCAUCUUGGGAUCCGAGGUAUCCGUAGGGGUGUUACAGUUGUCAGAGGUGUGGGGAGGUUCCACGCGUUCCUGGAGCUUCACUAAGAUCUCCAGAGAGUCCCUGUUUGAACCUUGGAGGUUGCAGUUCCUCAGCUGAACUGUCAAGGGCACUGCCGGUUAGAUUUGGAAAAGACGCAGAUUAUCCCGGCAAAAACCAAGCGAGAAGGCUGACAACUCACAGUGACUCCCCGAGACAAGCCCAAAGCAGGAUCGCGCAGAAGAUGAAUUCAGCACCCACAUCCGGCAGCUAUCAACUGUAAUUCCAACUCCAGUGGAUCCGAGGCAUACAUAUACACACACACCAAAAAUAAAUGUUUCUUUUUA